ensembl:lncRNA
AAUGCAUGUGAUUCCAAUGGCAAUAUGAUGCUGCACUCUGGCGCUGUAUUACUAGGACAGCAGCGGAGAGGACAGAGAGGGGUGGUGGGCCGCAAAGCAACACAAUAUUUAUUUAUUUUAAAAUUCGUUGACGGAUACAAAUGUCUACAUUGAUUGAUGGAUUAUUAAUCGUGUAUCAUGCACCACAUUUGUAAGACUAUCGUUUAAAGGAUAUCGUUGUGCUGCCAGAGGAAAAAUCAUUUGCUGCUUGGAUGCUGAUAAUAUCAGCCCUGCGCUUGACCCAGUGAGCAGAGGAUGCUGCCGCCGCUGCUGCUGAACCGAUGCUGUCAUUACGCCCGGUGCUCUGACGACCAGGGAGGGCCAUCCCGACUGCCUUUCCCCGUUCACAGCCAUUUAACCUACAUAUUUUAACCUAUAUAUAUAUAUUUAUUUUUAAUUUUUAUGUAGUCUCGCUGUCUGUUCUUCGGUGGCAGACAGAACACCCGGGGAUUGCUUUAGAAAUAGGAAUACAGCCUUAACUGUGGCUCGGUCCCAUCGCCUAGGUUCUUAUUCCGUUGCGAUUGGGAGAUUCUGUCUCCCGUUCGGAUUUUUUUAAUGACUGGAUUUGUGUUUUGCUGCGCUAUGUACAUGGAUAAAACCAGUGUGCUCCGGGGCCCGUCCUCUUCCAGUCCUCGGCUGAUGACUAAGAGCCUGUCUCUGGAUCCUGGUGCUCACGGUGCCUGCCUCGGGGCCCAUGCCGAUGACUCAGACACCCAGACCCCUCGCCUCAGCUCAGACCCCGGAUCCCUAACCUCCGGGUCCCUUGGUCUGCACCCAUCCAUGCCCCUGCUGUACCCAGCUGGACACGGCUGUAACGGAGGAGACAACGGGAGUGGAACUCCUCAGGAAGUGCCCUCCACCGCCCUCAAGAGACGCCCUCCUCUACCUGGGCCUAAACCACAAGUGCCCCCAAAGCCUCCUCACCUGCAGCAGAGUGCUGGUGCUCCUAGGCCCUGCCCCCGCGUCCCGGACAAGCCCCUCCCACCUCCCCCACCCUGCAGACCUCUGCCUGCAGACCCCAGAGGGGGAGGACCCUGCCGACUGCCGACACUCCCCCGCGCCGAGGGAC